rnacentral:rRNA from 1 species
UACGUAGGGUGCGAGCGUUAAUCGGAAUCAUUGGGCGUAAAGCGCACGUAGGCGGCCCAGCAAGCGGGGAGUGAAAGCCCUCGGCUUAACCGAGGAAGUGCUUUCCGAACUACUGGGCUUGAAUACUGGAGAGGGUCGCGGAAUUCCCGGUGUAGAGGUGAAAUUCGUAGAUAUCGGGAGGAACACCAGUGGCGAAGGCGGCGACCUGGACAGAUAUUGACGCUGAGGUGCGAAAGCGUGGGGAGCAAACAGG